GGGGAAUCUUGGACAAUGGGCGCAAGCCUGAUCCAGCCAUGCCGCGUGGAUGAUGAAGGCCCUAGGGUUGUAAAAUCCUUUCGUUGGGGACGAUAAUGACGGUACCCAAAGAAGAAGCUCCGGCUAACUUCGUGCCAGCAGCCGCGGUAAUACGAAGGGGGCUAGCGUUGUUCGGAUUUACUGGGCGUAAAGCGCGUGUAGGCGGGCUGGAAAGUUGGGGGUGAAAUCCCGAGGCUCAACCUCGGAACUGCCUCCAAAACUUCCAGCCUGGACUCAAGUAGAGGCAAGUGGAAUUGCGAGUGUAGAGGUGAAAUUCGUAGAUAUUCGCAGGAACACCAGUGGCGAAGGCGACUUGCUGGACUUGUAGUGACGCUGAGACGCGAAAGCGUGGGGAGCAAAC
rnacentral:rRNA from 1 species